UCAAUGGAUGACACUGAUCUGACCACAGAUCACGUCUGAUGAUGCCCACAAUGGUCAAAGGGGGUUCCUCACAGGCUUUGUGUGUUUGCUCAGACACGUAAAAAAUUAGAGGGAACAUUGGUCUUGACAAAACAUUUAUGGGAAAUAACAAAGUCAACUGCGCUGCUCCAGGCCCAUCCAGGGAUCUGUCAGGCAUGACAUCACGUGAGCUGAGUAGCCAACACUUCCACGGACAGUCAGCAAUGGCAUCUUGACGUCUUUUCGGGCAGUCCCUUUGCCAAUAUCCCUUCUCUCCACAGUAGUUGCAAGUGUCAUUAUCGAAGUCACCACUCUUCCGGUCUAUGUGAUGGUACGCCAGGACAAGUUUGGAUCCAUCUUGGCCUUCUGUCAGGUAACUGUUAACGGACCCGGAACCCAUUUUUUUCCAUGCCAUGACAGGAGGUGGCAAGCUGCCAGCAGGAGCCAGCUCAGUAGCCUGAGAGCAGGAUGGAGCAACAGCAGUAGUACUCCAACUUCAGGAAUCGCCUCUAUGUGGCAUUGGAGACACUGAAGAAUUCUUGGCAACAAUGAGAGAACACGGGCUCAUUCCCUCAAUUACCAAUUGAACUACCCGCUAUUUCUCUCAUUGCUCAACAACAACAGCAGCAGCAGCAGCAGCAGCUCGAUCUACAUUGCGACGAGCAAAUCAUUUGCUGAAUACGCAGCUCCUGCCUAGGGCACCCUGGGCUUCCUCCUCCAAUAUUCAGAAACUGGAGAGGGCGCAGUCAGACGUGGCUCACAAAAUAACGGCCAACUUUGAAAAAACUCCUAUCGACGCUGUCCUGCAUGAAGCCCUCCCGGUUAAAUUUGGCAUGUUUUAAAAAGGCAGAUGACGGGUCCCACCUUCCCGACAACGAUGACAGAAGGGUACUAUACCAGACGCACCUUCCAAAAGGCUUAAAACGUGGCGACUGGAGACGUUUCACCACCCCUAUGCUGUCCAACCUCAACCUCCCCUUCGGCAGACAAGGAAACUGCAAAUAACCCCAAUAUUCCAUGGCUCCUCCACCUCCCAUCCAUUUCACGCCCAUCCCGAAAUCUGCAUCCCCUUCCAACAACUAGCUGCAGCUACGGAAACGCUUUUGGCACACGGCCCAACAGACCUGUUCGUUUUCACUGAUGGAUCCACCCUUAACGGCACAGAGAACGGAGAUGCCGGGUUAGUGGUCUUCAGAGGCGACUCCUUGAUCCACUCCUGGCAUGCACCCACCGGGACACUUUGCAGCUCUUUUCAUGCCGAAAAGGCUGCACUGAACGCAGCCAUCACUUGGUUCGGACAGGGUUCGGACAGAAAUACAACUGGUCCUCAGCCUCUACCAUCAUGAACAGCCAGUCCCUCUUUAAAUCCCUCAACAACCCCACUGCCUUAGACCUUCUACCCUUUCCAUCAACUCCAACGUUGUAACCUUUCCCCCACCAAAAACAUCCAACUAAUAUGGGUUCCGGGCCAUUGCAACCUCCCAGGCAACAACCUUGCAGAUGAACAGGCCAAACUCGGUUCCUCCCUUCCCCAACAAAUCACUCCACUUGACGCCCAAACACGCUUAGCAAUCAUCCACAGUAGUUGCAAACCCUCUCUAUCUAUCCACCCCCGUAUCCUUUCCCUCACCUCCUCCCGAACUAAUCAGGAAGAAGUGUCCCAGUUGUCCAAAAAAGACUUCUGAGGAUCAACCCCAGGUGCCUCGAGUGACUCAAAGAAGAAGAAAUACGAAGCAGCAGCAGCUUGUGUGCAUGCAAAGGGGAGGUAGUGAAGCGGUUGGAAGAGGAGGAGGGGGCCAUUGGCCAUCAUCAUCACUGGGUUGCUCAGGUUGCCGUUACAGUUGUGAAGGUUAUGUGAGUACACUGUCACUGGUGUUGUCCUGAGGUAGAGCAACAGGGAAGCUCAGACACAGUGUCACAGGAGGAGAUACACAGUUAUCACUUUCUUUACACUUUUUUUCAAUUUUCCCCCAUCUAAAUUCUUUUGACUAUUCUCUCACUUAUUAACGUCUGUCAAUCAUAUUUCCAGACAUUCUGUAUUUUUCUCAAUGUCUUCUAAAUCCUCAAUUUUAAUUGUUUUUUUCUUCUUUAAACUACAUUUCUCCUCACCCAACCCUUCUUUUAAACUGCUGAAUACUUAAACUUCUGGUGACUGGAAAACCAUAGUCAGUUACCCAUUUCUUUAUCCACGCGAUAGAUUUCUCCCAAUAUUUCCCCCUCAUAUGGGUCAUAAUUGGUGAAGUGUACACUGAUAAACCCCAUUUUUUGCUCUUACUACUGGUUUUGCUCUUCCCACUCCCUAUUUUCUGGAAGCACUUCUCUUUAUCACAAUAUUCUAUGUCUUCAUCUUCGAAAUCGCCGGGGCCUUGAACCCCUAAUUGUUCCAACCCCCUCACUGAAUUUAAGACCGGGAACUCUAUCCCUCGCUAUUAGGUCUUAUGGCACCGAACCCCUCAGAUCUUGGGGCCUUGACCCCUCACUGAACUUUACUUUAUGGUACAGA